rnacentral:lncRNA from 1 species
UUCGGGAGCCAUAUGUCCGUUUGUAAUUCUAUGACUCGCGGGCUGAUCCGCAAAUGCCUACAUGUUUUGCGGUACGGGUUUGGUCAGCCAUUUUGAAGACCGCAGUCCGCGCGGAUCUGACCCGCUGUGACCCGCUCGAAGACGAGUCCGCUGCGUUACGGGACAGAUGAGAGAGUGAUUUGGGAGUUGUGAAAAAAAAAAGGAUAACUCGUGACGAAAGCAAUCUUCUUAUCUAGUGUCUAACCAAAUCUAUCUGUACGUUAUUACAUUUCCUGUUAGAUACUCUCUCUCUCUCUCUCUCUCUACUAGUCAUAACAAAGAAAUUUGCGAUCUGCGUUUACCUGAAAAAAGGAUGUUGCAGCUGUUUUUCACGUUAGCGUUCUCGGCGGCGCCGCUAACGCUGUACAUACCGCCGAUAAGAUGCUUGACGAUGUUCGUGGAGACGAUGGAGGAGAUGGGAAUGGAAGGUAGGGUUUAUAGCCGGAGAGUCUUCCCACGCGCCAGAAUUGCUUGGACUCGCCUUCUCGAUUGCUUCUUCUCCUUUUCUUCUCCUCGCCGUCCU